rnacentral:lncRNA from 1 species
CUCCCUAACAAAAUGUUGGCUCACACUGUUCAAGAUGGCUUAUUUUAUCUUAGUCCCAGACAAGUUCCCAGGACUCAAAUGAGACAAAUUCUUGCCAGAACAUCAAGACCCACAGAUAUGUAAUUUGCUUGAAAUACUAAAAAUCUCAUUGAAAGGAAGUAAAACAUUUCAAAAUAGCCAUCUGGAAGAAAUCUGGAAUUAAGGAAGAUAUUCUCGCCUCGAAUGGGCAUCGUUUCUAUGCACCUUAGGAAGCUAUUCAACAGCUGCAGCUCCUGUAAGCCCACCAUAUGUCCAGGCUGCAAGGUACAGGACGGCAACAAUCCAGUUAUUUGUGGAAGCUCCCAUCGUUAUAGAAAACCAUAGGAUUUCAGGUGAGGGUGAAUGUGGGCGCGUCCUAUGUCACCUUUAUGCUGAGAGAUAUAAUGUCAAA